GAGAAGGUAGUUCAGUGGUAGAGCACUUGCCUUGCAUGCAAGAGGCCAUAGGUUUAAUCCCUCACUCU
rnacentral:tRNA from 1 species